rnacentral:rRNA from 1 species
GCGAGCCGUAUAAUGCAAGUCGAGCGGACUUGAUGAGGAGCUUGCUCCUCUGAUGGUUAGCGACGGACGGGUGAGUAACACGUAAGCAACCUGCCCUCAAGACUGGGAUAACUACCGGAAACGGUAGCUAAUACCGGAUAAUUUAUCUUGCUGCAUAAAGAGAUAUGGAAAGGCGGAGCAGUCUGUCACUUGAGGAUGGGCCUGCGGCGCAUUAGCUAGUUGGGGGGGUAACGGCCUACCAAGGCAACGAUGCGUAACCGACCUGAGAGGGUGACCGGCCACACUGGGACUGAGACACGGCCCACACUCCUACGGGAGGCAGCAGUAAGGAAUCUUCCGCAAUGAACGAAAGUCUGACGGAGCACCGCCGCGUGAGUGAUGAAGGUUUUCGGAUCGUAAAGCUCUGUUGCCAGGAAAGAACGUCUUCUAGAGUAACUGCUAGAAGAGUGACGGUACCUGAAAAGAAAGCCCCGGCUAACUACCUGCCACCACCCGCGGUAAUACGUAGGGGGCAAGCGUUGUCCGGAAUUAUUGGGCGUAAAGCGCGCGCAGGCGGUUCUUUAAGUCUGGUGUUUAAACCUGGGGCUCAACUUCAGGUCGCACUGGAAACUGAGGAACUUGAGUGCAGAAGAGGAGAGUGUAAUUCCACGUGUAGCGGUGAAAUGCGUAUAUAUGUGGAGGAACACCAGUGGCGAAAGCGACUCUCUGGGCUGUAACUGACGCUGACGCGCGAAAGCGUGGGGAACAAACAUGGAUUACAUACCCUGGUAGUCCACGCCGUAAACGAUGAAUGCUAGGUGUUAGGAGGGUUCCAUAUCCUUGCUGCCGAAAAUAACUCAUUAAAUCAUUCUGCGUGGGGAAGUACGGUCGCAUGACUGAAACUCGAAGGAAUUGACGACGACCCGCACAGGCAGUGUAGUAUGUUGAU